GCUCCGUUGGUGAACCAGCGGAGGGAUCAUUACCGAGUUUACAACUCCCAAACCCAAUGUGAACCAUACCAAACUGUUGCCUCGGCGGGGUCACGCCCCGGGUGCGUCGCAGCCCCGGAACCAGGCGCCCGCCGGAGGGACCAACCAAACUCUUUCUGUAGUCCCCUCGCGGACGUUAUUUCUUACAGCUCUGAGCAAAAAUUCAAAAUGAAUCAAAACUUUCAACAACGGAUCUCUUGGUUCUG
rnacentral:misc_RNA from 1 species